GACGAACGCUGGCGGCGUGCUUAACACAUGCAAGUCGAACGAAGUGGCGAACGGGUGAGUAACUCGUAAUCCACCUGCCCUUCAGAGGGGUACAACAGUUGGAAACGACUGCUAAUACCGCAUACUUAAGGAGGGGCUUGCGUCUGCUUAGUUAGUUGGUGGGGUUACGGCCCACCAAGGCGAUGAUCAGUAGCCGGUCGUAAUGGGUGGACGGCCACAGUGGGACUGAGACACGGCCCAGAAUCCUACGGGAGGCAGCAGUGGGGAAUCUUCCGCAAUGGACGAAAGUCUGACGGAGCAACGCCGCGUGAGUGAUGACGGCCUUCGGGUUGUAAAGCUCUGUUAAUCGGGACGCGGUACCGGAAUAGAAAGCCACGGCUAACUACGUGCCAGCAGCCGCGGUAAUAC
rnacentral:rRNA from 1 species